AGAGUUUGAUCAUGGCUCAGGAUGAACGCUAGCUACAGGCUUAACACAUGCAAGUCGAGGGGCAGCAUGUUGGUUGCUUGCAACCAACGAUGGCGACCGGCGCACGGGUGAGUAACGCGUAUCCAACCUACCCUUGUCCAUCGGAUAACCCGUCGAAAGGCGGCCUAACACGAUAUGCGGUUCACAGCAGGCAUCUAACGUGAACGAAAUGUAAAGGAGAAGGAUGGGGAUGCGUCUGAUUAGCUUGUUGGCGGGGUAACGGCCCACCAAGGCUACGGAUCAGUAGGGGUUCUAAGAGGAAGGUCCCCACAUUGGAACUGAGACACGGUCCAAACUCCUACGGGAGACA
rnacentral:rRNA from 1 species